GGUGUCCUCCACUGUUUGUCAGUGUAGUGUCUCCCAAACGCGGUAUGUUGUUGUGUUCCCAGGAAAACCAGUGGGGUGUUCCACAAAGGCAGUUUUAUCACAUAACCGGGUCUAUCAUGGAUAUUUAACUGCAGUUCUGUGAGUAUCCCAACUUAACCAUGAAGAUGAACUGCAAACUGUAAGUCAUAAGUUUCUCAUUACUCUUGGGCACAUUGAUGUAUUUUGGCUUCCUGGUGAGUUAACCCGUUACAUGAAGGUUGAUCUGAAUAGUAAGGAUGUUUUAUUGGUUCAUGGGUUACUGAGGUGUUUGGUUUAUGUUGGUUUUAAUGAUUUGUUAAAAUGGUUACAGGUUCUAAGUUAUUGUUGUAAGCUGGAGUAAUGGGUUGGGUUCUGAUAUCUUCAGUCUUCUUUUCAGCUACUCUCCUGAGCUCUGUAUCUUCAUCACAUGCGUGUUGCUUUACUGAUGAGAGUGUGGUCUGAGUGAGCCGAGGUGCAUGCUGGGACACAGAGCUGUCUGAAGUCUACAGGUCUGUAGACACGCCCCCUCAGGGGAUACCAAGUGUUUGAGAAACCGUCACGAUGUCAGUUACAUGGACUGGAAUGUUCUUUAAGAUGGAGACAGGGAUUCAGAAGGAGUAACACCAGGGGAGAUGAGGGGGCUCCUCAUAUCAACAGCUAAAACACAACUUCAGUCUGACACAGAGAACCAUGGAACACAUUCAACAAUCCUCUCCAGACAUCGUGACUCCUCAGGAACAGUUUCAUUUCCAAGAAGGUCUUAAUUGGGGCCAUUCCAAGAUGGAUCCUGCUCCUCAAGAUCCACCGCCCUCCACUGGGUGGUCUUCUGAACAGAUGACCUCCUACCUGUCCUCAGGCUGACUAAAGCUGCACCGUUUGCAUCUGUGAAGGCCCCUCAUUCAGGAAACCACUGGAUUACAAAGACAUGACUUCAGAGACGUUGAAUCAACCUGGGACACAUUUUUGAGACGUCAAGCAUAAUCCAUCACCAAUGUGGGACGCCACUGAAAAAUGUUGCACAUAAUUUACUUCUCCGGAGACAUUGGUUGUUCUGUUCUGGGUGCCCUGGCAAGAGAGCUGGGGUUGGAUGAUGGAACGUUAUUUGGCAUGAAGUUUUUACCCUGCAUGAUUGUUUGGCCUUUUAUGGCUUAGUGGUGUGUGCGUUUGGGUUUGACAUGAGAUGGAUGAUUUUUGAGCAUUGCUAGGGUUAGGCUUAGGCUUAACGGCAGUUCGAGAACUCAGUGGAAGACCAAUUGGUAAUCGAAAAAUACAGCUUGUUUUUGUGUGAACAUGGGGUGUGGUUUGGGGUUAUGGUAUUUAAAACAAAUGGCAUAUAAUCUUUAAUUAUGUUAGGGUUAGGUGUCUCCCACUCACACCUGGCAUGGGGUUCUAGGUGCGUGUCCUGGGUUCUAUGUGUGUGUCCGGCUUGCUUUGACAGUGAUAAUGUUCAUACGGGGGUCUGUGUGAUUGGCUUGGGAUAUUGGAAUGGUCAACUAAAUCAUACCUGAUGGACGGCCGCAUGUUUACUUAAGGGCCUCCAGUAGACAUGAAGAGCCAUGAGCGACGCUGCGGAGCCAUAUCCAACACACUGGGCAGGAAGGAGGGUAUCCAACUCGAGUGUAAAAGGAUGCAAGCGGCGUGUUCAGAUCAGUGACUUCAAACUAGGACUAGACCAAUCAGGAUCAAUGGAGGAUGGACGCCUAAAGGAAUUCCAAAAGGAGAGUCUGACGUUGGAAAGGGACCUAAUUGGAUAUUCAAGAUAACCUUCAGACCUGUAAUGAGACGGCUCUUCCUACCUGGCUGGAUUGAUGGAGAGCCCUGGUCUUGCUCUCAGUUGGACGUCUUCUCAGGCUGAACUGUAUUUGUUUCGGACAGGACUAGCUGAACGAUUGGUUCCCUUAAAUCAGAAUCAAUCUGGGAACUCCAACUAGUGCGCUCUUCGAGCUGAAGUUGUGCUCUUCGAGCUGAAGUUGUGCUCUCCAGCUGAGGAGGUAAGGAAACCUUCACUGGGGCUUCAAGGUGUAAAGAGGAGGAUGUUUCAAAGUGUUCCAUGGUACUCUGAUGAAGACUGUUGUUGUGUUCCACUGGCUGAGAGGAAGAGCCCUCAGAUCUUCCUCUUGGCCUUUCUCCUCUGAGAAUCCUGGCGCCAUCUUGAAGGAUAUUCCAGCUCAUGUAACUGAUCACGACAGAUUCUCAAACACUUGGUUUCUCCUGAGGGGCGCGUCUAUAGAACUGAAGACUUCAGAAAGCACUGUAUCCCAGCAUGCAUCUCUGCUCACUCAGACCACACCCCCAUGAGUAGGAUGCAACACUCUAGUGAUGGAGAUGUAGGGUUUUAUAAGUAACGAGGGAGCAGACAAAGGUGAUUAGAACACAAUUGCGUGUCAAGUCUGUAAAUCUUUAAACCAUUAAGCUGGUUGGAUAGUUCAGGAAUUGGGCUUCUUUUUAUUAUGGGCGGUCCUUUCACUCGGAUGCCCACUUCUCACUGGACCUGUACAUGUGUUGGCUGGCUGGCAUGAGGCGGUCAGGGUGACGUUGCAGGGCUAUGGUCGGCUCUCUGUGAGCUUAACGUUUAGAUUUGCUCUGUAUGGUUUGUACCCUGAAUAAUCUAGAUAAUUGUAAAAUGUAGACACGGUUUUGUAUUGAAUGAUUUUAGGUUUAAAGUUGUUGUUGGACGUACAUGGUAGUUUGGUUCUUCGUACGGUUUUGAGUGAUAUAACUUGUACACACUGGGUGCAUAAUAAUGUAAAUGUACACUGAAUAGUAGUAAUGACCAACAGCAACAAACUGAUCUCCUCAAGGUAAGUCUGUUGGCUGAGUUUUAAUGAAGACCAUCGCUGGACUUCAGGAUCUUCCUCCAUUCAGCUCAAGGUGAGGCGCUGGUUCUGUUUUUUCUUUGGUUGGUUCCGGCCGGAAUGUUCGGAUUCCAGUCGGACGGUUUGUGCUUCCCGCCGUGGAAGGUUCUGAUUGCGGUCACUUGAUUUAGUCCCAAUGGUUAGCAUAGAACGUUGUAGUCUUGACAACCAAAAGAAACCACCUGGCAGUUAGUUGGACGGGAGUCCCCUGAGGGAAUCUGGUAGAACGUUCUGGAUUGUAUUCGCGUAACCUCGAGCCGUUGCCAACGGAAACUAUUUUCCAGUCGUUUCCAUUGGGAAUUGUUGCCCCUUAUCUUAAACAACUUAAGUUCGAUAUUAAAUACAUACUGACACGUGCGUCGUACAAUAUGUUGAUCAUUUCCGAUAGUUGCGCCGUACUUUUAACCACGAUGACGUGACGGGACUCUCGCUGCGUACAAAACGGUGUUCUACUUGCGGGCCCAUUUUUGACAUCAGUGACGGCUGAAAAUCAUUUCGAGGUGGCAUUUCAACAGAACCCAGCACCUGAAUAUGGCUGAGUAUAUUUGAUUCAAUAUCGAUACUGCUUAGUGUUCUUUGUUACUUCAGCUUUUAUACGUUCUAAAUAUCUGCUGUAAUUAAUCGCCACAGAAGUUAAACUGAGUUACCAACUGGAUAAUAUCAAAGCUAAAAUAAUGGCCGUCCUUCCCACAUGUUACAGUAGAAGAUACUCUAGAACUGUACAAGGUUAAAAAGGUAACAUGUAGUUGGUCCCAAGGUGUCUGCCUCCUCACCCAGAGCAAGACCUCCACCUCCUCACCCAGAGCCAGACCUCCACCUCCUGUCAGAAGUCCUCCAGAACAGCUGAAAGGUGAGGCUGAGAGGCUGGGGACCGGAGGCUUGUGGUGCCAGGAUGAACCAGAGACUGAGGCUGGAGACCAGGGGGCUGCAGCACCGGACCAGAGGGUAACCAUCACCAAGCUCAUCUGAAACACAAAAAUCCACGUGCUGCUACGACCGUAGUGGAUGAAUUGCUGAACGCGACAAUCUGCCUGGUGGAGGAGCUGGUGGAGGCCCUGCCUGGUGAAGGACGUCUGUCGUGGGGUAGAUGGAGCUUGAGACCAGGAAUCUGUCUGACGAGAGCUGCUGGAUUCCUCAACAUGUUUCUGGAGCGGAGGCGAGCUGGUAGGGGAGCCGUGAAUCUGGAGGAUGACCAUCAGUCUACCAACAAGGAUUACGUUAGGGCCAGACUCGCGCUGUUUGUUGCAGACCAGGACUCUGGCUGAGGUGAGCUGAUGGAGGAGCCAAGACUCUGGAGGACGACAUUACUCUACCAACCAGGAUCCUCAGACAAAUUACGUUUGCAACCAGACCAGGAAUCUGGAGGACUGAUGGAGAAGCCAUACAUCUGGAAGGCAAAUCCUGAGGACAACCUGGACUCUACCAUCAAGGAUUCCUCACACACCUGAGCUGAACCUCACCUGAUCCUGUUUGGUCGGGGGUAGAAACACCUGAGCUGAACUCGCCCUGAUCCUGACAUCCUGCUGGUCCCGUCUCCUCAGUUCAUCUGCGCCUCGUCCUCCAGAAGACCUGCUGAGCUCAGCAAUCUGAGGCUGAUGGAUAAAUGACCUCCAGUGGGAGUGAUCUUCUUGACCCCACAUAGUUUGACCGAGCAGCAAGGGUGAUCUAUGAGGUUCCCCACGAGGACUCUGAGGUGGACGGCACCAGCUCGUCCAAAGGGUCCUCCCAGUGGGUGAGUCUGUCGGAGGGCUAGGGGGUUCCACUCCCAGCCAGAAAGUACCGGGUUUGAUCCCCAAUGUCCCCAGUCUAACCUGUAGGCAUCAUUCAGCAAGAAGAUCAUAACCCCUAUCUGUUCCUGAUAGAGGAACCCCAACGCUCGCUAGUUACUUAUAUAACAGUACUGCCUCGUACGCAACGAAAAACAAUAAUCGGAGGAGUUGGAACAUGGUUAUCAUCGUGUUCUCCAUUGUUCAGAUUCUGGAUAAAAAUACGCCCAUCGUCCAACUCAGGUUGUUAGUGGGAAGGGAGAUGAUGUUGUUGACUGUGCUCUUUACACAAGCGUCAUGAAGAAGUACUCUCCCACACCCCUAGAACAACCUAGAUUGGACUAAACCUCUUAUCGAGUACCACGCCACCAGUGUUUUGCGCAAUGGUGUCAGGUACCCGUGUAUGAGUCCUUCGACUACUUUGAGCGUGUGGUGGAAAUCAAGGGCGGUGGAUGAAGGAGUCUCAAUCUGUUGUUUCCCUUGUUGGUUUUGUAAAUAUCUCUGAUACGUUCUGUCAUCUUCUGUGUCCGUCCAUGUUUUAAAUAAGCUAAUUGAAAGUCAUAAAUUAACUGUGAAACAGCAAUGAAGCCUUAUUGUAAUUGAUGAUGAGUGAUGAUUGUAUGUAAAUGUAAAUAAAUUAUUUUUAUAGAGUAACUGAUAUUCUCUAAUACUUCAGCAGACCGCAAUGUGGUCUGCCCUUUAUUUCCACAAGGCCUGUGUGUGUGUGUGUGUGGGUGUGGGUGUGGGUGUAGGUGUGUGCGUCUAGAUCUUUUGCGAAUGCUGUCAGUGCGGAAACGAUCUUAAUCUGAGGAAGUGCAGUGUGAGACUGCUAAACUUGUGGAAAAAAGUAAUCUUCCACCCCACAGGUUGUUAAUUGGUUGAUUGGACAAAGCGAAAAGCUAAACAUUAGGCAGGUUUAUCUAUGACCGUCGCUAAUGGUAAACUGUUGAGGAUUGGGCGUGGUUUCUCUGAGUGGUAAAGAAGAGGCUCUAUGCGGUAGGCCAUGGACAGGAAGUGAAGAACUCGUCUGUGACAUCCGUUCUCAUCGAAUGUAGACUGCAAGGCUACCUUCGGUGGUCGACCGGAUUUUUUUUAGCAUCCUUUGCAACACGUCCAAGAAGGGAUAAGAGGUUCCAUUUAACUAACAUGCCUGCUUGCUUAUUCCAAACGUGUUUUAAGCAAGACUUAUGAUGUUCAACGUAUCGACUUUUGACUUUAAAUGUAUACAGACGUGUUGACUUGCAUAUACUUGUUGACUUUUACCUGUACGCUUGCGUAUGUUUGUGGUUAGAGGAAGA